rnacentral:lncRNA from 1 species
UGUUGCGCAUUCACUUGCCUCCAUAGCUAAGUGGCUUAACCCCAACGAUGUCGUGGACACCCUCCUGAUGGAGUGACUUUGACAUAAUCAAAGAUCAAGUACUUAACCACAAGACAAACGUGAUGCCUCAGGUCAAAGGACUACUUUGCAUUAUUCCAACCAUGAGUUCUCAUGUGACAUGAAUAUGAGAACUCUUCGUUGAUCGUGUUCAGUGAACUCAUUCUCUAUUGAGCACCUACGUACUUGUCUUGAUGUCACACACACCAAUGACUCGAGACUAGUCACUCUCCCUGAGAGAAGACACAUGACGUACUGAUCUUAACGGACUGUCAAUGCCCAAUUGGCAAUCCUAUGAUCAGGAACGUUUAG